rnacentral:misc_RNA from 1 species
AAUUCUCAAACUCCUUGGUUUCUUCUGGAGACCAAAGGAGGCUUGGACUUUGGAGGCCUUUGCUGGCAUCUUUUGUCAGCUCCUCUUAAAUGAAUUAGCGGGGUCCUCUUUGCCAAUCCUCGACACGUGAUAAGAUGCUUCCGUGUUUCGGUUUCUGGCUCUGUUGCUUUUGGGACCCGCUUCUAAUCGUCCUGACCUUGUGUCCAGAGACAAUGUUCGAGCUCGUCUCCCUUCUCGGGAGACCCCCUCGGCCCCACGAAC